rnacentral:rRNA from 1 species
GGCCCUACGGGGCGCAGCAGGCGCGAAAACUUUACAAUGCGGGAAACCGUGAUAAGGGAACUCCGAGUGUCCGUAAAUGCGGACUGUCCGUAUGUCUAAAAAGCAUGCGAAGAAAGGGCCGGGCAAGACCGGUGCCAGCCGCCGCGGUAAUACCGGCGGCUCGAGUGGUGGCCACUAUUAUUGGGCUUAAAGCGUUCGUAGCUGGAUUGUUUAGUCUCUUGGGAAAUCUACCGGCUUAACCGAUAGGCGUCCAAGGGAUACUGGCAA